AUACGGAGGAUCCGAGCGUUAUCCGGAUUUAUUGGGUUUAAAGGGUGCGCAGGCGGCCAUUUAAGUCAGCGGUUAAAUCGUGGGGCUCAACCCCAUUCUGCCGUUGAUACUGGGUGGCUUGAUUGCGGUCGAGGUUGGCGGAAUUCGUUGUGUAGCGGUGAAAUGCAUAGAUAUGACGAAGAACACCGAUUGCGUAGGCAGCUGACCAGACCGCAAAUGACGCUCAUGCACGAAAGUGCGGGGAUCGAACAGGAUUAGAUUCCAUGGUAGUCCGCACAGUAAACGAGGAAUACUUGUUUUCGGCGAUAUAAUGUCGGAGGCAAAGCGAAAGCGAUAAGUAGUCCACCUGGGGAGUACGCCGGCAACGGUGAAACUCAAAGGAAUUGACGGGG
rnacentral:rRNA from 1 species